AGAGAUGUGUGAUGACGCAUAUCAAUAAGCGGAGGAAAAGAAACUAACAAGGAUUCCCUUAGUAACGGCGAGUGAAGCGGGAAGAGCUCAAAUUUGAAAUCUUCAAGGUUCUACCUUGACGAAUUGUAGUUUAUAGAAGUGUUUUCUGUUAGUAGAGGGGCAAAAGUUCUUUGGAAUAGGACAUCAUAGAGGGUGAGAAUCCCGUAUUUGUCAUUCUUUCUAGCUUUGUGAUACACUUUCAACGAGUCGGAUUGUUUGGGAAUGCAGUCCAAAAUGGGUGGUAAAUUUCAUCUAAAGCUAAAUAUUGGCGAGAGACCGAUAGCGAACAAGUACCGUGAGGGAAAGAUGAAAAGAACUUUGAAAAGAGAGUUAAACAGUACGUGAAAUUGUCAAAAGGGAAGCGUUUGACACCAGUGUUGUUUUUCCGAAAAUCAAUUACGAAUGUUUUAUUUUUGAGAAGUUAUGACUUCAUCGGCUUGCUUCUUUCUUUACUGAAACUUUCUUAAUGCACUUUUCGGUUAACAAGUCAACAUCAAUUUCUUUUGUUGUAAAAGGGUAUGAGGAAGGUGGCUUUCUUUUCGGAGAAAGUGUUUAUAGCCUUGUACCUCUGCAAUCGGAGAGAUUGAGGUCUGCAGCGUAGAUCCUUCGGGGUUAGAUACAUUUGUGCUAAGUUAUAGCUUUUCAUAGACAACUUGUUGACUAUGUUAGUCUUGUAGCUUACUCGCUUAUGCUAUUUUACCUACGCUUAGGAUGUUGAAGAUGUAGCACAUCAU
rnacentral:rRNA from 1 species